GCACUUUCUCAUUCGGGGAGAAAAAAGAAUCUGCAUACCAAAAAUAAUUAUCUUGAUUUGACUUAGAUAUUUUUUUUCGUUUGGUCUUUGAUCCAAUUGGAAAUAUUCGCACUAUUAUAUCCUUUCGGUCCCAUUUAGUAAGGUAAUAUUGACUUUUACAUUUAAAUUGAUCAUUUUAGAAUUAAUACUUUAACGUUUUAAAAUCAAGAUCUACACAAUCAAAACUAUUUUAUUUAAACAGUAAUUUGACAUAUGUGAGUUGGACCGAGUUAGGAAGUACUAACAGUAAUUUCACGUGCAUAUCACAUGGCUUAAUCUAGUGUUCAUGCCGACGCUGCCUAUUAGUAUAAUUAGGACCGACUAAAAAAUGAAUAAAAUUGAAUUAUUGUCAAGUCGAAUUCAAUUUUUUUAACCAUAAUUUUCGAUUAUUCAACUAUUCGGUAUUCGGGUUUUAUUACCUAUCCUAACUAACUAUCCAUGAACAAAAUCGUGUCAUUAAUUUCCAUCUUUGUCGAUCUCUCCCGGCCGGCCCCUAGCCUGUAUAUAUAUGAAUAUAGAGAUUCCUACUAGAUACAUAACAAUAGGUAAUAUGGAUUCAAAACAUGAUGGCCGGAGCAUCAGAAAAAGAUUAAGCAAACAAAUAGAAAUGGAAAGGGAAGGAGAUUAAUAAUCACCGGAGCACAGCCACCACACGUACGAGAUAAAUAGAGAGAGCAGUUUUUUCGUGACAUGAUCAGUACCAAGCGCUCUCGGUCGGUCAUCUCUUGGGAUAUCUCAUCUUUUAAAGAGCCAAAGCUGCUAAUACUUGUAUAUAUGUCCGUCGUCCUGCAACACCCACAAUCACAAUGGCUAUAUUGUAUUAUAUAUGAGAUCAAUGACAGUACUGAUCAGUCUAGUACAAAAGUAGAGUCAGUGCUGCUACUUAUAUGUCAGCCCUGCUCCUGCAACACCACAAUCACGUACAAGCUAGCUAGCUAGCUCGAUCAUUUGCAAUCUAGUAUACAAGAGUAGAAGAAAAUUAUUCAAAGUACUGUAUUUGUUUGGGAAUUCAAAAUAAUAUCAGAAAAAAUAACUUUGACUCGAAUAAGGUUGAAGUAUUCCUAGACUAGACUAUUAAUUUAAGGUGAACCAAAGAGUUUAAUUAUAAGGUUGAAGUAUUCCUUCAUUAAUUUAAUCCUAAGCUUUUUCUCAAACACUUGAAUUGAUAAAGAUAAACAUGUUGGAGGAUUCAACUUGAUAUAUAUUAAUUGAUCCCAAACCACUUUUAUUCAAAAUUUCUCACUUGAUCACCC
rnacentral:lncRNA from 1 species